rnacentral:tRNA from 1 species
GUCUUAGAUAGCUCAACUGAUAGAGCCUUUGAGGCGUAACUAAAUAAUCCGGGUUCGAAUCCCGGUCUGGACU